GACGAACGCUGGCGGCGUGCUUAACACAUGCAAGUCGAACGGAAAGGCCCUGCUUUUGUGGGGUGCUCGAGUGGCGAACGGAUGAGUAACACGUGAGUAACCUGCCCUUGACUUUGGGAUAACUUCAGGAAACUGGGGCUAAUACCGGAUAGGAGCUCCUGCUGCAUGGUGGGGGUUGGAAAGUUUCGGCGGUUGGGGAUGGACUCGCGGCUUAUCAGCUUGUUGGUGGGGUAGUGGCUUACCAAGGCUUUGACGGGUAGCCGGCCUGAGAGGGUGACCGGCCACAUUGGGACGGAGAUACGGCCCAGACUCCUACGGGAGGCAGCAGUGGGGAAUAUUGCACAAUGGGCGGAAGCCUGAUGCAGCAACGCCGCGUGCGGGAUGACGGCCUUCGGGUUUUAAACCGCUUUCGCCUGUGACGAAGCGUGAGUGACGGUAAUGGGUAAAGAAGCACCGGCUAACUACGUG
rnacentral:rRNA from 1 species